UACAGCCACAUCACGUUGAAACACAAGUUCCCAUACGAAGUUAAACAACGUUGAACCUGGUCAGUAACUAGAUGGGUGACCGCUUGGGAAUACCAGGUGCUGUAAG